UGGCGGCGUGCUUAACACAUGCAAGUCGAACGGGACUUACAUUGGAAGUUUUCGGAUUGAAGAUGUAAGUUUAGUGGCGGACGGGUGAGUAACGCGUGGAUAAUCAACCUUAAAGUCUGGGACAACAGCUGGAAACGGCUGCUAAUACCGGAUAAGCUCACAGGGAGGCAUCUUCCGGUGAGAAAAGGAGGCCUCUUAACAAUGCUCCCGCUUUAAGACGAGUCCGCGUCUGAUUAGUUAGUUGGCAGGGUAACGGCCUACCAAGACGACGAUCAGUAGCCGGCCUGAGAGGGUGGCCGGCCACACUGGGACUGAGACACGGCCCAGACUCCUACGGGAGGCAGCAGUGGGGUAUUUUCCGCAAUGGGCGCAAGCCUGACGGAGCAACGCCGCGUGAAUGAAGAAGGCCUUCGGGUCGUAAAUUUCUGUCUUUUGGGGCGAAACAGCAGCGCAAAUAGCGUUGUGAAUGACGGUACCAAAGGAGGAAGCUCCGGCUAACUACGUGCCAGCAGCCGCGGUAAUACGUAGGGAGCGAGCGUUGUCCGGAAUUACUGGGCGUAAAGGGCGCGUAGGCGGGUUUUUAAGUCAG
rnacentral:rRNA from 1 species